UACAGAGGUCUCAAGCGUUGUUCGGAUUCAUUGGGCGUAAAGGGUGCGUAGGUGGCGGGGUAAGUCAGGUGUGAAAUCUCGGGGCUCAACCCCGAAACUGCAUUUGAUACUGCCUUGCUCGAGUACUGGAGAGGAGAUUGGAAUUUACGGUGUAGCAGUGAAAUGCGUAGAUAUCGUAAGGAAGACCAGUGGCGAAGGCGGCACUCUGGGCCGGUACUGACGCUGAGGAGCGAAAGCGUGGGGGGCGAACAGG
rnacentral:rRNA from 1 species